UCCGGUCAAGGGCAUGUACUCAGCACUGCUUUGGGUGCGUGCAGGAGACGACUCGAUGUGUUUCUCUCACAUUGAUAUUUCUCUCUGUCUUUCCCCCUCUCCUCCACUCUCUCUAAAAAUUAAUGG